UCCUAUACACUACCCUUUGAUCUUCAUGCCACUAGUCACCUGUCCUUUCUGAAAGCUACAGAGAUACAUUUUUUUCUGAUAAUGAGGUGUCAGCAUACCACGUGUUGCAGUUCAACAUUUUCUGCGUCAGAUACUAUUUAUGCCUUAAUAUGUUUCAGUGGUUCUGGUGCCAUGUUAAUGGAUGUCAAUGUUCAGAAGAGUAGCAGAGUUGAAUGAUAGAAAGCGAAAUGGAUUAAUGUGAUAAGUGUCUCCAUUUCCUCAUUUCACACAGAUGGGUUGAAUUGUUUGUUCCAAAGUUUUCCAUUUCUGCCACAUAUGACCUUGGAAGCACACUUCAGAAGAUGGGCAUGAGGGAUGCCUUUGCUGAAAGUGCUGACUUUUCUAGAAUCACAGAAGACAAUGGUUUAAAACUUUCCUAUGCUUUUCACAAGGCUGUGCUGCACAUUGGAGAAGAAGGAACCAAAGAAGAAGCUACUCCUGAAGCUGGCUCUCUGGAUCAGGCAGAAGUAGCUUCUCUUCACCCUGUUAUUAGAUUUGAUAGAACAUUCUUACUGAUGAUUUUGGAGAAAAGAACCAAAAGCAUUCUCUUUUUAGGGAAAGUUGUUAAUCCAAUAAAAGAGUAAUUGAAAAAGUAGCCAUUAUAAUGGGAAAUAAACAUAUAUCAUAGCUUAAUGUACUUGCUUGUGGGCUUGUGUGGGCUUAUAAUUUAUGUCUUUUGUGUAAGUCAUAAAAAUGGACCUUGUCAUGACUACAUUGGCUGUGGAAAUAGUAAAUUCUGUGACCAAGCA